GAUGAACGCUGGCGGCGUGCCUAACACAUGCAAGUCGAACGGAGAUUACGGACGGAAGUUUUCGGAUGGAAGCCUGUAAUUCUUAGUGGCGGACGGGUGAGUAACGCGUGGGCAACCUGCCCUAUACAGGGGGAUAGCAGCUGGAAGCGGCUGGUAAGACCGCAUAAGUCGGUUAAAUCGCAUGAUUUGAUCGGGAAAUGAGCAAUCAGGUAUAGGAUGGGCCCGCGUCCGAUUAGCCAGUUGGCAGGGUAAAAGCCUACCAAAGCGACGAUCGGUAGCCGGACUGAGAGGUCGGACGGCCACAUUGGGACUGAGACACGGCCCAAACUCCUACGGGAGGCAGCAGUGGGGGAUAUUGCACAAUGGAGGAAACUCUGAUGCAGCGACGCCGCGUGAGUGAAGAAGUAUUUCGGUAUGUAAAGCUCUAUCAGCAGGGAAGAUGAUGACGGUACCUGACUAAGAAGCCCCGGCUAACUACGUGCCAGCAGCCGCGGUAAUACGUAGGGGGCAAGCGUUAUCCGGAUUUACUGGGUGUAAAGGGAGCGCAGGCGGUUUUGCAAGUUGAGAGUGGAAGCAGGGGGCUCAACCCCCUGACUGCUCCCAAAACUGUAAAACUUGAGUAUGGGAGAGGCAGGCGGAAUUCCUAGUGUAGCGGUGAAAUGCUUAGAUAUUAGGAAGAACACCGGUGGCGAAGGCGGCCUGCUGGACCAAAACUGACGCUGAGGCUCGAAAGCGUGGGGAGCAAACAGG
rnacentral:rRNA from 1 species